GGAUGGCAAUUUGUGACAUUGCACUGAGGCACAGUUCUGUAAUAUGACAUAAAAGUUCAAAUUGGAGCUGUGGCGGGGCAAAAAUGAGGGGCACUUGGAUACCAAUCUUUUGCAGCCAUUGCGCAUAUGAUUUGCUUGAAUGUCAAGAUUAUCAGGAAUUACCUGCUGAUGGAGUUGCAUUUUGAGCAAGGGAAAUGUUUUGGUGCGAUUGAGAGUGUGAAAUUCUGUGUGGAAGAAGAUGCCAAGCAUUGAAAAAUUAUGCAGGAAGAUUAUACUGAUAUUAUUGAUGGAUGACGACCAAAGUUGAAAACGAGCUCAACUGUGAACGGAGGUGGGGCUUGUUCAUCGAUAAAGAAAAGAGCUUUAAGGAGCAAUCCACAUAUUUAAUAAAUCAUGUUGUCUAAUAAAAUUGUAUUUGCUUAGCUUUGUUUAUGGUACUUUUAAUUUGUAGUUCACUGUAUCUCUGAAAUGUUGUUAAACCAUAUUCG